rnacentral:lncRNA from 1 species
ACGCAAGCACGCACACACGCACUCCCAAGUAUAGGACCAAGCCGAAACAGGGUGGCAGAUACCUUGUAUUUAAGAGGAGAAUGAAUUUUAAAGCUACUUCAAAGGCCACUCAUUAGUCCAAAUGACGCACUAGCUGACGAUGACUCUGGGAUAUUAAUCGGGCUUGCCGACCUCAUCGUGCUCUAAGAAACCAAGACUUGAGGUCUUGAAUUCUAGUUUCAACACUUUGCGGACAGCGUUGAAUGGUCCUGCUACGGGACUCUGUAGCCAGAGCAGCGGAUGACGCAUCGUCACGCCCCCUGUCAGUACGUCCUGGUUGGAGCUAAGCACAGACUGUACUCUGCGCUGUUAACAGGGACUGCAGGCUGUGCCAGAGGUUCAUCUGCCAGCAGCUGAUUGAUGGGAUAAACAGAAGAGAGUGCAAGACAGACACGCCUUGCUUCUGCCUUUGGCAGGUGGUAAUCAAUCUACCAGCUUCCCAGAGGAAAAGACCCCGAACCUUGAAAUGGAGGAGGAGCCUCUCCCGCCAAGAUCUUAGCUGCGACACAAGAUCUCCUAUACUCAGGGGGAAAGCCACCGUGGGUCAGAGUGUGUUCUCCAAGGGUGGCGACGAAACCCCUUUUUAAAAAAUGUAUGUGGCUCCCGUGGAGGCAUUACUGUCCUCGGGUAUUUCUUGAGGUCUUCUUCCCUCCAGUGCCGGCUUUGUUUACUUAAAACUUCUUCUACAUUUUCUUUUCUGACCUCCCGCAUCUUUGGACUCUGUGGCCCAGUAGGCGUAUGUCUGACAGAACAGUAGACCCAGUCCGGGAAACACCUGAGUAUUUUCUUGUUCUGUAGAGGCUGGAAGUCCCCGCCACAGCUGCUGCCAGGUCCAGUUUCUGGUGAGCUCUGUUCUUGUACCUUGCAGACAGCCACCUUGUUCUGCGUGCGCUCACGGUUUUUCUUAUGUAAACAAAGAGAAGGAU